rnacentral:lncRNA from 1 species
CUGAGAAAAAAAAAACAAACACAUACAGCAAAAGACAUGAAGCUUUAAUCCCAUAGUAAUUAUACAAUUGGUUCCAAUUUUCCUAGUGAGGAAUCACUAUCAGCUAUUUGGAUUCGAUUAUGAGUGUCAGAUACACUUGUUUGACACAGGUUUCACUUUUUCAUAGUUUUUGCAUGUUUUAAAAGGAUCCUGAAAGGGUCAAAUAUAGGUACCGGAUCCUGCAGAACAAAAUGCAGUGUGAUGGUGCAACAUCCCUACAACUAACACAAUCCACAAAUUAUCACUUCAUAAAUGGAACCCCAAGCCAGAACAAACAAUCAAUCAUAUUCCUCAUUAUCUGCAUCAAAAGAGAAGCCGUUCCCAAGGGAUCCUCUUUGGAAAGAACAGCCAAACCACAACAGCAAAACAAUAACUAAAACAGGAUUACAGAGCAUAAUCUGAGUAGCAACUACCCAAACAACGAAAUCUUAUGACCAGGAUGAUGAAAGAAUCCAUGAGUCCUGUCUCUACAACUUAUGAUGUUUAUCAAGGAAGGCUACGCCUUAAUCAAAAGAAAUUUCAGUUUGCUCACUUGAAAAGCUUUUACAAACCAAUGCCAACCCUUCUCAUACAAUCAACAAACCCUCCACAUACAAGAAAAAAAUUGAACAUAAGUGUGCAGAACUCACAUCCGAAUCUAAGCAACAUAAAGAAUAGGUACAUUUUAUGAGUAUCCACUUACCAAACAAAGAAACCUUAUAUUCCCUUGGUGAUGAAGGAUCCAUGAACUCUGUCUAACAAACUUACGAUGCUUCUCAUAGUAAUUAUACCUUUAAUAGAAAUAAUUUUCCUUUCCCUUACUUGAAAAACUUAUAAAAGCCAAUGCUAAUCAUACUAACACAAUGCACUAAUCAAAUGGAACCCCGGAACAAACACUUCAAACAUACUCAUAACCUGCCCCAAAUUUUGCUUUAAGGAAAGGCCACUCAUAAGGGAUCCACUUUGCAAAGAACUGCCUUACAGAGUGUUAUCUGAUUACAAACUUACCAAACAAAGAAACCUUAAUGAUCUGUAGGAUGAACAAAUCUACAAGCUACAUCUAACCAGUUUGAAAUGUUCCAAAUGGUAAACCAUAACUUAAUCAAACGCUCAAAUGACUAGCCACAGUCAGAAUAGAAAAUUUUCUAUUAACUACUACUACUUAAACAAGACCAAGCCCCAAACUACUAACCCAAAAUAAGAUUAUCCGAGUCAGUCAGUCAGUCCUACAAACAUAAUCCAAG